CAAUAGCGUAUAUUAAAGUUGUUGCGGUUAAAAAGCUCGUAGUUGGAUUUCUGUUGAGAACGUCCGGUCCGCACUAUGUGCGUGUAUCUGGUUCGGUCUUGGCAUCCUCUUGAGGAACGUAUCUGCGCUUGAUUGCGUGGAGUGGUAUUCAAGACUUUUACUUUGAGGAAAUUAGAGUGUUCACGGCAGGCAAGCGCCUUGAAUACGUUAGCAUGGAAUAAUAAUAUAGGAUCUUGGUUCUAUUUUGUUGGUUUCUAGGGCUAAGGUAAUGAUUAAUAGGGAUAAUUGGGGGCAUUUGUAUUAACGCGUCAGAGGUGGAAUUCUUGGAUUGCGUUACGACAAACUACUGCGAAAGCAUUUGCCAAGGAUGUUUUCAUUGA
rnacentral:rRNA from 1 species